rnacentral:rRNA from 1 species
GUCUAUAGCCGUAUCACCCUGAACACGUCUGAUCUCCUCCGAUCUUGGAACCUAACCGGACUCAGGCCUGGUUGGUACUUGAAUGGGAGAAAAACACAGAGCUGCCGGGCAUGAUAGGAC